rnacentral:rRNA from 1 species
UACGUAGGGUGCGAGCGUUGUCCGGAAUUAUUGGGCGUAAAGAGCUCGUAGGCGGUGUGUCGCGUCGGCCGUGAAAACCUGCAGCUUAACUGUGGGCUUGCGGUCGAUACGGGCAUCACUGGAGUUCGGCAGGGGAGACUGGAAUUCCUGGUGUAGCGGUGAAAUGCGCAGAUAUCAGGAGGAACACCGGUGGGCGAAGGCGGGUCUCUGGGCCGAUAACUG